GAUGAACGCUGGCGGCGUGCCUAAUACAUGCAAGUCGAGCGAAUGGAUUAAGAGCUUGCUCUUAUGAAGUUAGCGGCGGACGGGUGAGUAACACGUGAGUAACCUGCCCAUAAGACUGGGAUAACUCCGGGAAACCGGGGCUAAUACCGGAUCACAUUUUGAACCGCAUGGUUCGAAAUUGAAAGGCGGCUUCGGCUGUCACUUAUGGAUGGACCCGCGUCGCAUUAGCUAGUUGGUGAGGUAACGGCUCACCAAGGCAACGAUGCGUAGCCGAACUGAGAGGGGGAUCGGCCACACUGGGACUGAGACACGGCCCAGACUCCUACGGGAGGCAGCAGUAGGGAAUCUUCCGCAAUGGACGAAAGUCUGACGGAGCAACGCCGCGUGAGUGAUGAAGGCUUUCGGGUCGUAAAACUCUGUUGUUAGGGAAGAACAAGUGCUAGUUGAAUAAGCUGGCACCUUGACGGUACCUAACCAGAAAGCCACGGCUAACUACGUGCCAGCCGCCGCAGUAA
rnacentral:rRNA from 1 species